rnacentral:rRNA from 1 species
AACGAACGCUGGCGGCGGGCUUAACACAUGCAAGUCGAACGGGUGCAGCAAUGCAUCAGUGGCAGACGGGUGAGUAACACGUGGGAACCUUCCUAGAGGUACGGAACAACGCAGGGAAACUUGCGCUAAUACCGUAUACGCUCGAGAGAGGAAAGAUUUAUCGCCUUUAGACGGGCCCGCGUCGGAUUAGCUAGUUGGUGAGGUAACGGCUCACCAAGGCGACGAUCCGUAGCUGAUCUGAGAGGAUGAUCAGCCACACUGGGACUGAGACACGGCCCAGACUCCUACGGGAGGCAGCAGUGGGGAAUCUUGGACAAUGGGCGCAAGCCUGAUCCAGCCAUGCCGCGUGAGUGAAGAAGGCCUUCGGGUUGUAAAGCUCUUUUACCAGGGACGAUAAUGACGGUACCUGGAGAAUAAGCCCCGGCAAACUUCGUGCCAGCCGCCGCCGUAA